UAGGAUGGGACAAGGAAGAAGUGAUUCCGAUGCCUGCCCUCCCUCCCCCCGAACUGCCUUGGGGGGCCCAACACUGUACAUGCCAUGGAGGGAGUCUCUGGGGUGACACUGGGGAGGAGGAGAGGCCAGGAGUAUGCAGGUUUUGAGGCCCAGCACCUCACACAGGUAGCCCGGCUAUGCUGUAGCAGCUACUCUGGGCCAGUGGCUGGACAAGCAGCCACGGGUGGGAGAUCUGUCCUUGUUGUCAUUACAGAUUUAUUAGCAAGGACAAACGAACACAGUCUGUCUCCCUCCAGGCGUUCCUGCCCUUGUUGAAGAAGGCUGCACAGGAGAGCACCCAGACAGGGCUCAGCUGCGGCAAGGCGGCCAUUAUCAACGUGUCCACUAUAGGGGGCUCCAUCGGGAACACCCCCAGCAUGGCCAUCUUUCCAGUCAUCUCCUACCGCUGCAGCAAGACUGCUCUGAACAUGCUCACGAGGUGCCAGUCGGUGAGAUACAAGGAAGACGGGAUCCUGUGCACUGCGCUGCAUCCGGGCUGGGUGAAAACAGAGCUGGGAACUGCCAAGGUACAGCAGCUAAUGACUUUCCAGAGAUGUGCCCAGAGUCUCCUGGCAGCGUGAGGGUGAGAUGGUGGUUGGGGUUAGGCACUAUCACUCAUUGCAUCUAUUGCCAUUCGCUCAGACCAGAGUGUCAUUGCUUUGCUGCUGAUACCAAGACAAGUUUGCUCGAGGAAAAAACUGGAUAGACUCAGACAUUUAAUGUGAUCCAGAUCAAAUCCCCUUGGCCAAGUGUUGCUCACAUGAACAGCUCUGAUAAUGUCUCCGCUCAUUAGGCUUUUCUCUGCACUCCAGCCACUGCUGGCGCUGAACACGCCUUGCACCCACUGCCCUGUUUGCUCCUGCU
rnacentral:lncRNA from 1 species